CCCUUAGAUGUCCUGGGCCGCACGCGCGCUACACUGAGUGUCUGAGAUACGAGUCUGCCUGGUCCGGCAAGGUCUAGGUAAUCGCUAAAAGACACAUCAUGCUUGGGAUAGAUUAUUGCAAAUAUUAAUCUUGAACGAGGAAUUCCUAGUAAGCGCAAGUCAACAGCUUGCGUUGAUUACGUCCCUGCCCUUUGUACACACCGCCCGUCGCUCCUACCGAUUGAAUGUUCCGGUGAACACUUUGGAAUAGUUCUUAUGUGAGGGGAAACUCUUUGCUUGGAUACUGUGAAGUUGUGUAAACCUUAACAUUUAGAGGAAGGAGAAGUCGUAACA
rnacentral:rRNA from 1 species